rnacentral:rRNA from 1 species
GACGAACGCUGGCGGCGUGCUUAACACAUGCAAGUCGAACGGAAAGGCCCUGCUUUUGUGGGGUGCUCGAGUGGCGAACGGGUGAGUAACACGUGAGUAACCUGCCCUUGACCUUGGGAUAACUUCAGGAAACUGGGGCUAAUACCGGAUAGGAGCUCCUGCUGCAUGGUGGGGGUUGGAAAGUUUCGGCGGUUGGGGAUGGACUCGCGGCUUAUCAGCUUGUUGGUGGGGUAGUGGCUUACCAAGGCUUUGACGGGUAGCCGGCCUGAGAGGGUGACCGGCCACAUUGGGCCUGAGAUACGCACCAGACUCCUACGGGAGGCAGCAGGGGGGAAUAUGGCACAAUAGGCGGAAGCCUGAUGCAGCAACGCCGCGUGCGGGAUGACGGCCUUCGGGUUGUAAACCGCUGUCGCCUGUGACGAAGCGUGAGUGACGGUAAUGGGUAAAGAAGCACCGGCUAACUACGUG